GGAGGGGGACACGUCAGGCACGGGAGCAGGCUGUGCCUGUGGCAGAAGUGAGAAACUGUGCAUAAACCUGUGAGAGAAGCAAAGAUGUCAGAUGACAUCAAGAAAAGGUUUGAUUUUCCGAAUUCUCUUAUCCAGUCUCAGGUAAUUUUUAUUUAUUUUUCCUUCAUGGUAACAAAAGCACACUUUUGAUGGACCAUAAAUUGAACUUUGUAUUUUCACAUGAAAUAUUUUCUUCUACUCAUGGCUUAUUGUAGUAAGCAACAUUAUAUGACUAGUAAGUAUAUUUCAAUUAGAGAAACUAAUAUUUAAACUUGUUCAAUUUCAGCUUCUUGUUGUUUUCAUAUAUUUUUCCCUUAGAAAUAAUCUUGAUUAGUAGAUUUUUGAAUGUGGUUAUUCUUUUUGCAUAUGUUUAAUAAUUGGGAACAGUGAUAGAUGGUUUCUUAUAUAUCUCCACAGAGUAUCAAAGAUUAAUGUUUAAAAUGAUAUAUUCUACCUCUCUACAGCUAUUAAGAGUACUAGAUUUCAGAAUAAUGAUAUUCAAUAAUUAAAGCAUUCUGGAUUAAUGUAAUAUGUACCUGCUGAGAUGGGAAAUCGG
rnacentral:lncRNA from 1 species